CUGUAGUCUAGUUCUACUGUAGUCUAGUUCUACUGUAGUCUAGUUCUUCUGUAGUGUAGUUCUACUGUAGUGUAGUUCUACUGUAGUGUAGUUCUUCUGUAGUCUAGUUCUACUGUAGUGUAGUUCUACUGUAGUGUAGUUCUACUGUAGUGUAGUUCUACUGUAGUGUAUUCUUCUGUAGUGUAGUUCUACUGUAGUGUAGUUCUACUGUAGUCUAGUUCUACUGUAGUGUAGUUCUACUGUAGUGUAGUUCUACUGUAGUCUAGUUCUAUUGUAGUGUAGUUCAACUGUAGUGUAUUCUUCUGGAGUGUAGUUCUAUUCUAAAGUAUUUAAACUGGAACAACCAUUUCAGUAAUUGAGUCAAUAUAUCCAAGUAACAGAUUAAUAGUUUUUCUGUAUCAAGGUCAGAAGGCUUUGUAUUCUUGAGUCUUUCCAAAAGUGAACAACCUGGAAAAACUUCCCCCGAACAGAGAGAUGGAGGACAUUCAUCACAGCUGUAUCUGCAGAGUGUUGAGGUGAGAUGACAUGAUGAACAUCUCUGUAUUAACUCUACCAGGUUACAGCUGUAUCUGCAGAGUGUUGAGGUUAAACUAACAAUCCCAACUAAAUAACUACAUAGAGAAGGAUGUGAGAGGAGAAUGUG
ensembl:lncRNA